UCUCAAACCACUUCUCCGUGAAGAAAUAAAAAUGUUGAACAUACAGCAACAAAUAACAAAUGUUAUUUCACAUCAACCAAGGGACCAUCAAUUACGGCCCUGAAGAGUGGACCAAAGCUAACGCAAGAAAAAUAUAUGCUAUUAAAAAUUAACACAUUGCAAAAUAACAAAUGUGCUUCGUCGGAGACGGUGGGGAAUAGCCGCUUGACGAAUGCCAGAGCAGCAACGAACAAGGAGAGAGAAGCGAGCGAGCGCCGGAGCAGGGGCGGCUUUAAUGUGCUUCGUCGGUGAUUGCGGGGAAACGGCCGCUUGAUGAGCGCCGGAGCAAGGGUGACCUUAAUGUGCUUCGUCGGCGACGGCGGUCGUCCUUGCUGACCUGCGCCAGGACUUGCUUGAGGUUGGUGCGGAGGGCGUUGGCGGUGGCCUCGUUGGCCUAGGCAAGGUCCCUCCAGAUCUGGUUCUCCACGCACAGCGACUUUACCCGCUCCAAAAAAAAAAAAAGACAGAAGCAAGGCCUGCUACAACCUCCAUUCCGCAUGCUCAACAGCAGCACCGACUUUGUCCUCUCCUUCACCACCACCUUUGUCUUAGUGGUCCUCACCCUCGUUCGCGGGCAACACUAGCAGUCACACCUGACAUUUGUUAUGUCACCGACUUCUCGAUAGCCUCUUCAAUGCUGAAACAACUUAGAUUCGUCAAAAUAAAUGUCCGCCGUGGGAAAGAGCGCAGAAACAGCGAAGAGAGCUCGAGCUGCAACGAACGCCAGAGCAGAGGCCUGGAGGAGCAAAUCUAAGAGCGAAGGGGAGAUCCAAAAUUUGAAUGAAGGAGGGGGAGAGAGAACGUCUUUGUUGCAGAAAGGAGGACGUCCAUUUUCUUCUUUAGGGAUGGAAGGAGACAGGAUAUGAGCGAGAGAGAGAGAAAUAAAUGCGUGCAGGCUGUUACGUGCAGGUCUAGUGAUAGGGGAAAUAAUAAAAAAAAUUUGUUUUGCGGGAGAAGAACUACUUCUACGAGAAAAUCUUCAGUGCCCCCACACCUCCACAUGGCGUUUCAUGACUCGUCGGAGACCACGCUGACGUGGUGGUCCGGAACCACCCAAUAUUUUCUCCUUUUUUU
rnacentral:lncRNA from 1 species